CUGGAACACGCCCCCCAGGGCGUUCCCAGAUACCCUUUGUGAACUUAUACCAUAUCGUUGCCUCGGCGCCGGCUGGUGGGCUUCAGCCCACCCCUCUGGACCUCACGGUCUAGCGGAGCAGGCCCGCCGGUGGCCCUAUAAACUCUUGUUUUUAUAACGUAUCUCCUCUGAGUAACAACUAAAAAUGAAUCA
rnacentral:misc_RNA from 1 species